rnacentral:rRNA from 1 species
CCUACGGGAGGCAGCAGUAGGGAAUAUUGCUCAAUGGGGGAAACCCUGAAGCAGCAACGCCGCGUGGAGGAUGAAGGUUUUCGGAUUGUAAACUCCUUUUGUUAGAGAAGAUAAUGACGGUAUCUAACGAAUAAGCACCGGCUAACUCCGUGCCAGCAGCCGCGGUAAUACGGAGGGUACAAGCGUUACUCGGAAUCACUGGGCGGAAAGAGCGCGUAGGCGGGAUAGCAAGUCAGAUGUGAAAUCCUAUGGCUUAACCAUAGAACUGCAUUUGAAACUGUUAUUCUAGAGUAUGGGAGAGGUAGGUGGAAUUCUUGGUGUAGGGGUAAAAUCCGUAGAGAUCAAGAGGAAUACGCAUUGCGAAGGCGACCUGCUAGAACAUAACUGACGCUGAUGCGCGAAAGCGUGGGGAGCAAACAGGAUUAGAUACCCUAGUAGUC